rfam:Myotis davidii contig323267, whole genome shotgun sequence.
GUGCUAUAUGAAAGAAGAAAAGGUUGGCACUCCCCUGAGCAGAAUAAAAGAGGUCCUCAGGCCGACACAACACCUAUCUGGUUAAGACUGCCACCUACUUCAUGACCUCUAACCAUGGGUUGGU